UGACCUACGGGUCACCUAGCCAACUGACGUUGUUAGUGGAUGACAUUCCCACAAAUGUGAGCCAGUAGAUCACUUGCUACUGGCUUUUUUUUG
rnacentral:sRNA from 1 species